AAAUGUGAGUGGAAAACCUCCCGGAUGCCGCCCCGGAGACAGACCACAGCCCGGACGGCCUUCGUCUAACUGCAGACUGACUCAUCACCAACAUUUACCAAGAAAAUGACCCAGGAGUGAACCCCAGGGUCAGUUUUUCUGACCCCCAGCUGCCUCUCCCCGGCACCCACCUCCUUGACAUGGAAGGCUGACAGGAGACUCUCCAGCAUCCGCGGCAGGCACGACCCAGAGGGAGAAGGAGCAGCCCAGGGUGGCUUCAAAGGGAGCCCUCCUCCCGGCAGCGGGUGUCCCACUGUGUAUCCACCUGGAAACGAAGGAACUGCACUGUCAGCUAGUAUCACAGAGCAUGGCACAGCAAGAGGGAACCUGGAGUGGGGAUCUGCCUGUUGUUCUCUUGGCUCUGACACUUCGAUUCUCUGGGGUUCUGCGUGCUACCUUCACGUUCACCGGGCCAGCAUGCUCAGCAGAGGCCUGAGGCGGCAGGAAGAGUCUAAGGCCCUGGGGAGCAGAGAUCUGGGUUUGAAUCCUGCCUCUGCUGUUUUCAGCUCUGUGACUCUGGGCAGGUAGCUUGGCCUCUCUGAGCCUGUUUCUUCACCUACAGAACUGGAAUAAUACCUAUCUCGAAGGGUUGUUGUGAAGAAAAGAAAUAAAUGGACGCAAGCCCCUAAGAUGGGGCUUUGCUCAGACAGAGCAGGCGCUCUGUGGAUAAAGCCAUUUUUUUUUAAAAGGCUACUCAAGUUUUGGGAACAAAAGGUUGUGACAAGUGAU